rnacentral:rRNA from 1 species
GACGAACGCUGGCGGCGUGCCUAAUACAUGCAAGUAGAACGCUGAAGAGAGGAGCUUACUCUUCUUGGAUGAGUUGCGAACGGGUGAGUAACGCGUAGGUAACCUGCCUUGUAGCGGGGGAUAACUAUUGGAAACGAUAGCUAAUACCGCAUAACAAUGGAUGACACAUGUCAUUUAUUUGAAAGGGGCAAUUGCUCCACUACAAGAUGGACCUGCGUUGUAUUAGCUAGUAGGUGAGGUAAUGGCUCACCUAGGCGACGAUACAUAGCCGACCUGAGAGGGUGAUCGGCCACACUGGGACUGAGACACGGCCCAGACUCCUACGGGAGGAAGCAGUAGGGAAUCUUCGGCAAUGGGGGCAACCCUGACCGAGCAACGCCGCGUGAGUGAAGAAGGUUUUCGGAUCGUAAAGCUCUGUUGUAAGUCAAGAACGGGUGUGAGAGUGGAAAGUUCACACUGUGACGGUAGCUGACCAGAAAGGGACGGCUAACUACGUG